rnacentral:lncRNA from 10 species
GACAGGCAUCGGCAGAACUGGCAAGCCCUGGGACCCAGACCCAACGCCGCAGAAGGACUCAGCCCUCCCGGGACGAAGGCGCGGGGCUGGUGCUGGUGUUGAGUCACCCUUUGUUGGAUGAUGAAAGGGGAAUUCAGCCUGGGAAAGAAAAGAAACACGGAGGAGAAUAUUUGAUUAACAUUUUUCCAACGUGACCACAUCACAGGGGCGUGUGGCCGGAAUUCUCACCCUGGACUGGGUAGGGCGGGACUCGGCUCGUGGCCCGGCUGCUGGGGAGGGUGGGCCUGGGUUUUGGGGGGCCCUCCUGGCCUAAAGGAAGAGUGGGGUCUGGGCUGGCAUUUCCCCUUGGGAUCGGGGCUGAGGAGGUUCCUGGACAGAAGCUGGGCCAGGUCGGCCACCCGAAGGGUGAGCAGCUCAGGGAGCUUAUCUUCAACCUCAGGACCACCAGGGAUUGGACCCUGAGCUCAGGAUGGACCUCAGGGGUGGGGGGCUCUGGCCUUGCCUUCACCAUCUGCUCCUGACUCUGGGCAGAGCCCUCUCUGAUCCCAGAUUGAGUCUUUUUUUUUUUUUUUUGAGAUGAAGUCUUGCUCUGUCACCCAGGCUGGAGUGCAGUGGUGCCAUCUCAGCUCACUGCAACCUCCACCUCCCAGGUUCAAGCAAUUCUCCUGCCUCAGCCUCCCGAGCAGCUGGGAUUACAGGUGCCAGCCACCUUGCCUGGCUAAUUUUUGUAUUUUUAGUAGAGACAGGCUUCACCAUGUUGGCCAGACUGGUCUCAAACUCCUGGCCUCAAGUGAUCCACCCGCCUCAGCUUCCCAAAGUGCUGGGAUUACAGGCGCGAGCCACCACACCUGGCCUACGUCUUAACUCCAACUCCAGACUGAGACCUGGCUCCAGGUCUACCGUGUCCUCUGAGCCCGGCUCAUGAUGACUUGUGGCCCAGACCCCAGCUGGUUUUGGGCUUCCCUCUGUUUGAGCUCUUGCACAGCAAUCCUCCAUACCCCCUUCACUGUCUGAGAACUUUUUUUUUUUUGAGACAGAGCCUCGCUCUGUCACCCAGGCUGGAGUGCAAUGGUGCGAACUUGGCUUACUGCAAACUCUGCCUCCCGGGUUCAAGAGACGAUUCUCCCACCUCAGCCUCCUGAGUAGCAGGGGUAAUUUACAAGCGUGCGCCACCACGCCCAGCUAAUUUUUUUUGCAUUUUUAGUAGAGAUGGGGUUUCACCAUGUUGGCCAGGCUGGUCUCGAGUUCCUGACCUUAAGUGAUCUGCCCUCCUCAGCCUCCCAAAGUGCUGGGAUUAUAGGUGUGAGCCACCGCGCCCAGCGCUGUCUGAGAAUUUCUGACCUUUUGUCCUCAGCCUCAGGCUAGCUCUAGGGGACUGUCCUUACCCUUGUGUCUCCAAAUGUCCAAGUCUAUGGCCAUCUCCCUGUGGAUGAGAGGCCACUUCUGCCAAAGGGUGACCCCACCCAUGCUUGGUUCCCCUUCCCUCCCCUCCACCUGCUCAGACGUCUCAGCCCACGAACCACCUUUAGGGUUCCAGCCACGCCUCCUUUUAUUGGCCCCUUCUCGUUGGCAUUUAAGCAUUCCAUGAACAAAAUAAAAGAAACCCCUUCUUGAACCCCACUCCCACCUCUGGCUGCCCCAUCUCUCACCUCUCUGUCACGGCCAAACUCUUCAAAGAGCUGUCUGCACACGUGUUUCUACUUCUCACCUGCUGCUCACUCCUUGGCCGGCUCCUGCCUGGCUCUGGCCCCCACCCGCCACCCAAACACUCUCACCCAGGUCAGCAGUGACUUCCAUGCAGCC